rnacentral:sRNA from 1 species
UGCAGCAUGCUGUGACUACUGUUGAUCACCUUGCCAUGUCUAAAUAAUAUCCUUGAGUGAUGGCCUAAUGUCCUCUUACAUCAGCCUUUGAUACUCAAAUGUGUCACCAUUGGUCUUCUUCAACUCAACUAGGAUAAAAGAAGGAGCAACAUCAGAAACCUCUGCAUCAAGCUCAAGUCUGCCCUUCCUUCAUUCCUUCAUCGUGGCUAAUUUAAGCACUCCAUUGUCAGUUUUUGUAACUUUGAGCUUCAAGGCUUUGGCCAGUUCCUUCAGCUUCACAAGUACAAUUGUAGCUGGCUUUCUGGAUUUAAACCGUGCCUCUCUUUGACCAUACCUUUCACCAAAUAAAACAGAUAGAUCGAAUCUAGUAGAGAGAGAAAUGAUGUCAAAUGCAUUCAACUUGUGCAGGUUUGGUGGCUCUUGAUUUCUCUCAGAACUGAUGCAGGUUGUUGGGCCAGAGAAAGGAGCCUCACUUGUACAACUAUUCUUUCCUAUUUCGCUAUUUAGUACAGAUAUGGCGAUGGGUUUCCUAUACCAAGCACUUCUCUUUAUCCUUGAGAUAGACAUCCUAGUACUAGGAUCAGUAUCAAGGAUUCCAUAAAGGAGCUCCUUCAGCUCAGCUGAAAAAUGAUGAGGGCAUCUAUACUCAGCCUUUGCAAUCUUCCUAUACAUAUUGGAAAGGAAGAUAAUUGGCCACAAGCACAAACAAAAUCACUCCACAAGACCACACAUCUGCCAUUGAGCCAUUGUAGCCUUUCCUACUAAGCACUUCUAGAGCAACAUAAGCUGGAGUUCCACAUGCGGUGUGGAAAAGACCAUCUUGCCUCCUUGAUUCGGCUAGCGCAAAUAAUCCAAAGUCAGAGACUUUAAGAGUUUCAUUCUCAUCCAGCAAUAAGUUUUCCGGCUUCAAGUCACGAUGAUAAACACCUCGGGUGUGAC